AUACGUAGGGAGCGAGCGUUGUCCGGAAUUACUGGGUGUAAAGGGAGCGUAGGCGGGAGUGCAAGUCAGAUGUGAAAUACAUGGGCCCAACCCCGGAACUGCUUUGGAAACUGUUUGGCUGGAGUGCGGGAGGGGUAAGCGGAAUUCCUAGUGUCGCGGUGAAAUGCGUAGAUAUUAGGAGGAACACCAGUGGCGAAGGCGGCUUACUGGACUGUAACUGACACUGAGGCACGAAAGCGUGGGGAGCAAACAGGAUUAGAUACCCUGGUAGUCCACGCUGUAAACGAUGAAUACUAGGUGUAGGGGGUAUCAACUCCCUCUGUGCCGCAGCAAACGCAAUAAGUAUUCCGCCUGGGGAGUACGGCCGCAAGGUUGAAACUCAAAUGAAUUGACGGGG
rnacentral:rRNA from 1 species